ACCCAUACCUGGCAGGGGAGAUACCAUGAUCAUAAAAGUGAUUUUCCCAGGGUAAGGCUCAUCUAUUGCACUUCAGGUAUGCUGAUCCCUGUGAUUUCCCCAAAUGUGGGAAAAUCAACUACCUAAUUUAUGGUAGUGCGGGGACUGUGUGGUUUCUCCUAGUCCUUUU
rnacentral:snRNA from 1 species